rnacentral:rRNA from 1 species
GUGAACCAUACCAAACUGUUGCCUCGGCGGGGUCACGCCCCGGGUGCGUCGCAGCCCCGGAACCAGGCGCCCGCCGGAGGGACCAACCAAACUCUUUUCUGUAGUCCCCUCGCGGACGUUAUUUCUUACAGCUCUGAGCAAAAAUUCAAAAUGAAUCAAAACUUUCAACAACGGAUCUCUUGGUUCUGGCAUCGAUGAAGAACGCAGCGAAAUGCGAUAAGUAAUGUGAAUUGCAGAAUUCAGUGAAUCAUCGAAUCUUUGAACGCACAUUGCGCCCGCCAGUAUUCUGGCGGGCAUGCCUGUCCGAGCGUCAUUUCAACCCUCGAACCCCUCCGGGGGGUCGGCGUUGGGGACCUCGGGAGCCCCUAAGACGGGAUCCCGGCCCCGAAAUACAGUGGCGGUCUCGCCGCAGCCUCUCCUGCGCAGUAGUUUGCACAACUCGCACCGGGAGCGCGGCGCGUCCACGUCCGUAAAACACCCAACUUCUGAAAUGUUGACCUCGGAUCAGGUAGGAAUACCCGCUGAACUUAAGCAUAUCAAUAAGCGGA